AGUGAACGCUGGCGGUAGGCCUAACACAUGCCAGUCGAACGGCAGCACAGUAAGAGCUUGCUCUUACGGGUGGCGAGUGGCGGACGGGUGAGGAAUACAUCGGAAUCUACUUUUUCGUGGGGGAUAACGUCGGGAAACUUACGCUAAUACCGCAUACGACCUACGGGUGAAAGCAGGGGAUCUUCGGACCUUGCGCGAUUGAAUGAGCCGAUGUCGGAUUAGCUAGUUGGCGGGGUAAAGGCCCACCAAGGCGACGAUCCGUAGCUGGUCUGAGAGGAUGAUCAGCCACACUGGAACUGAGACACGGUCCAGACUCCUACGGGAGGCAGCAGUGGGGAAUAUUGGACAAUGGGCGCAAGCCUGAUCCAGCCAUACCGCGUGGGUGAAGAAGGCCUUCGGGUUGUAAAGCCCUUUUGUUGGGAAAGAAAAGCAGCGUGUUAAUACCCCGCUGUUCUGACGGUACCCAAAGAAUAAGCACCGGCUAACUUCGUG
rnacentral:rRNA from 1 species